rnacentral:lncRNA from 1 species
UCUACUUACAGCGAGGCAAUUUCCGUCAUGGAAAGAACCCGCAAUGAAAUGGCACAGCCGUGGCCAUUAGCUUGACAAGCAUGGAGCCUCAGCCCUUGUGAGUGUGAAUGGGCCUCAUUUAUCCAAGAACGGCACUGAAUACAUCCCAGAGGGGCAGCCCCAAGCUCGCUGGCCACAUUAAAUCUGAUUCACCCUCACUUCAGAACACUUAGCAGGGGCCCACUCCUUGGAGAAAGUCCAAG